UUGGGAAUCUUGCACAAUGGGGGAAACCCUGAUGCAGCGACGCCGCGUGGAGGACGAAGGGUCUAGGCCUGUAAACUCCUUUUCUCGGGAAAGACUUAGGACGGUACCCGAGGAAUAAGGACCGGCUAACUACGUGCCAGCAGCCGCGGUAAGACGUAGGGUCCAAGCGUUGUCCGGAUUUACUGGGCGUAAAGAGCGCGUAGGCGGUCUGUUAAGUGCACGAGUGAAAUCCCGGGGCUCACCUCCGGAACUGCUCUGCAUACUGGCAGACUUGAGGGUCGGAGAGGUUUGUGGAAUUCCUGGUGUAGCGGUGAAAUGCGUUGAUAUCAGGAGGAACACCCAUGGCGAAGGCAGCAAACUGGCCGGCAUCUGACGCUGAGGCGCGAAAGCGUGGGUAGCAAACAG
rnacentral:rRNA from 1 species